CAAGUGCUCUUAACUGCUGAGCCAUCUCUCCAGCCCCUCACCUAUACUUUUAAGGGAUUCCUGAGUGACAGUGAGAGAAAGAAGCAUAUACACAUUCCAUAGCAAGCCCUUUUCAGCCACGUAUAAGCUAGCUCUUGGUGGAAAAAAGACGGAGCUCAUUGCCAGAAAAACCAAACAGAUUGGACCUUUCAGUUCAUCUUUGACCUUGAAUGCAUGGAGAUUCGGUUAAUCACCAAUGGGUAAUAUCAAUCAACUCAUGCAGUAGGUUUAUCAAGUGGACAGCUGUGCCAGCUUGGUGCACUUGAAUCCAUCCUAUAAAUUACUUUCUUGGCCCUUGAAGACUACCCCGAACACUCUAUACCCUGUACCAUGUCUAAACCAAGUUCUCAGCGAUGUUGCUGGUCUUUGGGCCGUAAAGAAACUGCUCUGUCCCAUAAACGGUACCUUUAUCUGCGGUGAAUAAAUGAUUAAAUGGCCUCUAUCCUCAGGUUGCUCUCCACCACCAUCACACUCAAGCCAUGUUCCUAUUUCAGGUUAGGCAUCCGUGGUUUUAAGCCCCAGAUGCUUCUGGCCUCUGCACUCUCCUGUCAGGUAGUCAUACCUGCAUCCCCUUUGUGAGGCAAUUUUUAAAAGACAAAUCAUCUGAUUAAAAAAAUCUGGACAAAAUUCAUAAGCAUGCAACUUUUAGAAAAGAUACAAUUGUGCUAUUGAAAGGCCCAGAACUCCACAGUAGAAUUCCAAUGUCUAGAAGAAGCCUCAUGGUGAUAAAAAGCAAGCACUCCCAACUCCACUCCUGACUUUGUGAAGCUCCGUUUCCCAGGAUGCAUAAAGAAGGUAGAUUUCUUCCAUGGACCGUCGUUUCCCGGUUAUGAGCUCCAGUCUCCUGAAGAAUUGGUUCCUGACUUUCAAAUCUUCCAAGGUCUGGGCAAAUAGACUCUGCAAGGGACUCUCAGAUGAGUGUGCCACUGUGAGCCAUACCUCCUCUGGCUCUUCAUGAUUUGGGUGCCCAAGCUCUCACUAAGUGAUGGAGGGUGUGUGUGAUGAUACUCAUAUCCUUGGGAUGUGUUCUUGUCACCUGGCAACUCUGCCAACAUUUGCUAUUUUGAGGCACUAAUGAAAUUUGAAAUAUAUUCAGAUUCAAAAUUAAUACAUCUCCCAAAUGAAUCAUGCUUUACACAUUAAACACCAGAAUAUGCAGUAAUAUAAGUAUUUGCUGGAGUCUUCUAUUUGUCUGGUCCUGUUCUAUAUACAGUGUCAGGGACCCGUCGGGUAGCAGGAAGGUGGUGGCACUCACUGUUCAGGUGGUUCACAGGGAGCCCCCUAACUAAGCAGUCCUUUUCACAGGAAUCUCUUGGGUUCUGCAGCCCAUCAAUAACACACCUAAAGAUACUUUAUCAUCUCUCUUAUGAAGAUUCUUCUAGAUCUUUCUUGACUCAUAUUGUCUAACCCAUUCUAGAAUAGGAUUUAUUUUCAUCCAGCUCUUCACAUAUAUUCACUCCUGGUCAUUUGGUUUUUUAUGUUUUAUGUUUUAUCCAAUUUAUAUUAUUAGGCCUUGGUUCUGUUUAUUCCGCUGAUUGAGAAUAAGAUCACUACCAUAAUUUAAGGUCAAAUUUGAAGCAAGCUUUAAUUAAAUACUAGCCAGGUGGAUGGGCUCAUAUCCAGGUUCCUGGGAAAUGGCCAAGAAUCACAGUUUUUAGCUGCUUAAGAAGGAAAACCCAUAAUCCAUUGCAUUUCCUACCAGGUCCAAUCAAGGGCAAGCAUACAUAAUACAUCCUGACAUACCUCCAGCCUGUGCACCUCCUGCCCACAUGUGACUAAGCACAUCAGUACCUUCACCAGCUUAGUCAACAAAGAUCAAGCUGGACUGACGACACAGGGUUUAGGUGAAGAGACAAAACCCACCGUGAGUAGCUGGUGGGCACAGUUUCUUAGUGCCUCAAAAGAGGGUGAGAGAAAACACGCCAGGAGAGUGUAACCUGGCGCUGCGAAGUCGUUUAUUAAAUCAUUACAGCGGUGCUCACACUGUAUGCCCCCAGCAGUUACAGAAGGGAAUUUCAUAGCAGGUAGGAUAGGGGCAAACUUGAGAUUAGCUGGUCAGGCCAUGACUGGUACCACAUCCAAAACAGGUUAUGGGAACAUGCUGUCUGAUACCAUCCAGUACAAAGACAAAGACAAACACUCCCUGCCCUGCCCCGAGGGAGGGAUGCGGUUGUCAUAGGAAUCAAGACCCAUCACCAUUGUCUAAGUUA